CAUAGCCACGGGAAUACAGAGGGUGCGAGCGUUAAUCGGAUUUACUGGGCGUAAAGCGUGCGUAGGCGGCUUCUUAAGUCGGAUGUGAAAUCCCUGAGCUUAACUUAGGAAUUGCAUUCGAUACUGGGAAGCUAGAGUAUGGGAGAGGAUGGUAGAAUUCCAGGUGUAGCGGUGAAAUGCGUAGAGAUCUGGAGGAAUACCGAUGGCGAAGGCAGCCAUCUGGCCUAAUACUGACGCUGAGGUACGAAAGCAUGGGGAGCAAACAGGAUUAGAUACCCGCGUAGUCCCUGUCUCUUAUACC
rnacentral:rRNA from 1 species